rnacentral:rRNA from 1 species
GGAUGAACGCUGGCGGCGUGCCUAAUACAUGCAAGUCGAGCGAACAGACGAGGAGCUUGCUCCUCUGACGUUAGCGGCGGACGGGUGAGUAACACGUGGAUAACCUACCUAUAAGACUGGGAUAACUUCGGGAAACCGGAGCUAAUACCGGAUAAUAUAUUGAACCGCAUGGUUCAAUAGUGAAAGACGGUUUUGCUGUCACUUAUAGAUGGAUCCGCGCCGCGUUAGCUAGUUGGUAAGGUAACGGCUUACCAAGGCAACGAUGCGUAGCCGACCUGAGAGGGUGAUCGGCCACACUGGAACUGAGACACGGUCCAGACUCCUACGGGAGGCAGCAGUAGGGAAUCUUCCGCAAUGGGCGAAAGCCUGACGGAGCAACGCCGCGUGAGUGAUGAAGGUCUUCGGAUCGUAAAACUCUGUUAUUAGGGAAGAACAAAUGUGUAAGUAACUAUGCACGUCUUGACGGUACCUAAUCAGAAAGCCACGGCUAACUACGUG